rnacentral:tRNA from 2 species
GCCGGGAUAGCUCAGUA